rnacentral:lncRNA from 1 species
UUCAUUCUCCAAGCUGGCAUGCUUUUCCUGGAGAGCAUUGAACUCGAGCCCUCUUUCUGCCAACGUUUUCUCUAAUUCAAUGGUUUGACCCUGUAAACUCACUAUUUCCUCCCUCAAUUGACCAUUCUCUUUGAUUUUAGUUCUCAAGUCCUCUUCCAGUUCACCUUUCUGGUUCUUUAGAGAAAUGACCUCCAAUUCUAGUUCCUUCAUUUGUGCCAACAAACCCUCUUUCUCCUGUAGAACUCUCUGUUGAUCCUCAGUCUUGCUUACUAUCUCUUCUUUUGCCUUUUCUAUCUCAAUCAUAUGAUCUGAAAUAGCUUGAGUUUUUCUCUCAAGCUGAACUUCAACUUCAGCUUUCUGGCUAUGCAUGGAUUCCAGUUUCUGCUGCAAUGUAUUUAUUUCAUCCAUCAAGCUCUUGACUUGGUUCGAUGCUUCAUCGCCUUUAACUACAAUAUGUUCUUCCAACUGAGCUUUCUCAGUCCGCAGCGACUCCAUGUCUCCUAGCAGAUUGUUAAUCUGCACUGUCAAAUUCUCCACUCUAGAUAAUGAUUCUGUCUCAUUAUCCUCAAACUUCUUUGUGAGAGUAAAAAAUUCUUCUUGUCUCGUCUUUAAUACCCUCUCGAGUUCUGAAAUUUGAUAUUGCAGUCCCAUAUUUUCCUCCCGCAGCUGACCAUUCUCUUCGAUUUUAGUUAUCAGGUCCUCUUCCAGUUCACCUUUCUGGUUCUUUAGAGAAAUGAACUCCAAUUCUAGUUCCUUCAUUUGUGCCAACAAACCCUCUUUCUCCUGCAGAACUCUCUGUUGAUCUUC